UACGUAGGGGGCAAGCGUUGUCCGGAUUUAUUGGGCGUAAAGAGCGUGUAGGCGGUUCGGUAGGUCCGUUGUGAAAACUCGAGGCUCAACCUCGAGACGCCGAUGGAAACCAUCGAACUAGAGUCCGGAAGAGGAGAGUGGAAUUCCUGGUGUAGCGGUGAAAUGCGCAGAUAUCAGGAGGAACACCUGUGGCGAAAGCGGCUCACUGGACCACAACUGACGCUGAGGCGCGAAAGCUAGGGGAGCAAACAGG
rnacentral:rRNA from 1 species